GUGAUUCUGAAGCAUACGCGCGGAGCUUUAAGCUUUCAGCAAGCUAACGCUAGCGUUUGGUGUUCGGGUGGAGUGGAGUGGAGCUUGUUGUUCGUGUCUCUGUGCGAAGAAACUGUGACGGUAGAAAGUGUGUGUGAGCUGAUGUGAAUUGAGCAGCAUGGAUCAGUGUGAGGACAGAGAGGAGGGAGUCCCUCCCUCUAAAACCACUUGGUGUGGGGAACAUGAGAGCCAGACCAAAGCUCAGAGGAACCAGCCUGGACCUCCACUCAGUGACGAGUCAAAGGGCAUGGAUGAUGAGUUUAAAGAAAACAUCUGUCCUCCUGCAAAGAGG